rnacentral:rRNA from 1 species
AAAGGGGGGAACNUNGUCAGCAGGCAGGAGGNCUGCAUGUGCUGUUCUGUAGUCCUGUGCACCUUAUGUAGUCCCAAGAGCCUUCACGGGUGGCGGUUGACUACGUCUACCUCACACCUUAAAGUAUGUUAACGAAUGUAAUCAUGGUCUUGACAGACCCUAAAGAAGUUAAUACAACUUUCGACAACGGAUCUCUUGGCUCUCGCAUCGAUGAAGAACGCAGCGAAAUGCGAUAAGUAAUGUGAAUUGCAGAAUUCAGUGAAUCAUCGAAUCUUUGAACGCACCUUGACGCCCUUUGGUAUUCCGAGGGGCAUGCCUGUUUGAGUGUCAUUAAAUACCAUCAACCCUCUUUAUGACUUCGGUCUCGAGAGUGGCUUGGAAGUGGAGGUCUGCUGGAGCCUAACGGAGCCAGCUCCUCUUAAAUGUAUUAGCGGAUUUCCCUUGCGGGAUCGCGUCUACCGAUGUGAUAAUUUCUACGUCGUUGACCAUCUCGGGGCUGACCUUGGUCAGUUUCAAUAGGAGUCUGCUUCUAACCGUCUCUUGAUUGAGACUAGCGACUUGCGCGCUAACUUUUGACUUGACCUCAAAUCAGGUAGGACUACCCGCUGAACUUAAGCAU